rnacentral:rRNA from 1 species
CGUGGCGACCGGCGCACGGGUGCGUAACGCGUAUGCAACCUACCUUUAACAGGGGGAUAACACUGAGAAAUUGGUACUAAUACCCCAUAAUAUCAUAGAAGGCAUCUUUUAUGGUUGAAAAUUCCGAUGGUUAGAGAUGGGCAUGCGUUGUAUUAGCUAGUUGGUGGGGUAACGGCUCACCAAGGCGACGAUACAUAGGGGGACUGAGAGGUUAACCCCCCACACUGGUACUGAGACACGGUCCAA